UGUCAGUUCCAGGAGCCUUUUGACAGAGUCCUUAGGAUUUUCUAGGUAUAGAAUAAUAUCAUCAACCAUUAAGGAAACCAGCCCUACACCACCCGGCGGGUAACCCGAGUCCAGUGGAGACAAAGGAGAAAGAGACACAAAAAGAGUUUAAAAGACUUUAAACUUUCAGAAAGCAAAUGCCCUCACGUGUGAAGAGGCAAGAGACAGAAGUUAAGCGAUCUCAAGAUCCUAAUUAUUUAAUCUGGAUUCAUUCAAAUGAUAGAUAAUAACUUCAUCGAUGCAAUUUGUUGCUGUGUGCAUACUUAUCACAGUUUACAUGGAAUUAAUAUUACAUCUCUUCACAUAUAGCAUUAAGAACUUGUGACAGUAUGUAUAUUUCUAUUUAUCACUUCCUCUCUUUUUGAUAUAUUUAUUAUGUAUUUAUGCUAAUUUUGUCUUAGUCAAAUGUCUUUUGAAAACUAAGGU